UGGUGGUGGCGGCGGCGGCGGCGGCGGCGGCGGAGGCGGCGGCGGCGGCG
rnacentral:miRNA from 1 species